CUCACACCUUAUUCCUCAUCCCUGCGUGAUUCUGCCCUCGCUUUUAAAAGACGAAGGUCACAAUGUUACAAAAAGAGGAUUGACUUUUUUUCUGGGCCAGUUCCUGGAAAGGCAUUUUGAUGAGGGUUUUAUACAACCGAACGGUCGCUGUGUUUAUCCAUCCUUAUGGGACGUCACUGAGCAGGAAGGAGAGAGUUCACCGAAGGACAGGUGCCCCUUCAGGGAGGGGGGUGCCACUCCUGUUGGCUGCCCUCACUGCAGACUCGCGUCACACGCCGGGGUCUGCAAGGCAGGACUUCACUGUUAUUCUUUUGUGAGGAGGAACGUAGCCUCAAACUGUGGCCCCACAGACAUAAUGUCAUCUUGGCGUCCCAAUAAAGUACUUGGUCCCCAGAAUCUGCCAGGGUCUCCAUGCCCUGCUAACACCCCUGACUGUA